rnacentral:rRNA from 1 species
GUGGGGAAUAUUGGACAAUGGGCGAAAGCCUGAUCCAGCCAUGCCGCGUGUGUGAAGAAGGUCUUCGGAUUGUAAAGCACUUUAAGUUGGGAGGAAGGGCAGUAAGUUAAUACCUUGCUGUUUUGACGUUACCGACAGAAUAAGCACCGGCUAACUUCGUGCCAGCAGCCGCGGUAAUACGAAGGGUGCAAGCGUUAAUCGGAAUUACUGGGCGUAAAGCGCGCGUAGGUGGUUCAGCAAGUUGAAGGUGAAAUCCCCGGGCUCAACCUGGGAACUGCCUCCAAAACUACUGAGCUAGAGUACGGUAGAGGGUAGUGGAAUUUCCUGUGUAGCGGUGAAAUGCGUAGAUAUAGGAAGGAACACCAGUGGCGAAGGCGACUACCUGGACUGAUACUGACACUGAGGUGCGAAAGCGUGGGGAGCAAACAGGAUUAGAUACCCCAGUAGUCC